rnacentral:lncRNA from 1 species
UGUUGAUAUAGCGUUUUCCUUUCAUUUUCCAAGUGCCUCAUUCAUUAAUUGAGCUCAAAUUUAUGUUUCAGGCUAAAAUGAGCGCCAAUGAUCAGCUUUCGAAUCAAGUGGUCCUCAAAGGAAACGGUUUGGAAGAUGGUCGAAUGGACGGUGUCGGGGGUGGCGGUGGAACGACCCCCUCUGUAUAUAACAGUUCCGUACCCCGAUCUCAUAGUUCCGCGAGCAAUUCCUGCUCGCCACCCACGGGCGCCGUGCCCUCGACCAUGCUCGUCGUCCCGCAGCCAACUCGUAUCGCCGACCCUCACCACAUAGUCACCCAGAACGGCUCCAAUAGGCGCUACCAGUGUAAAAUGUGCCCUUCGGUAAGUCCUAUCACCACUUAUUCCCUUACAAUACCCUUCGUAUCCUUCUUUCUACGGAAGAAAGGCUGCCGAAGAUGAUGGUUGAUUUGGUUCCUCCUGGGAGGAGACGAAGAGGACGCCCAGUGAAAGGAUGGCGACAGGGGUUUUAGAGGAAAUGAGGAAGUGCGCCAACUUCCUGAAGGGCUUUGGAAGGAUGGAAGACUUUGAAGGCUGGGUGUCUCCUUCAAAAUUUCGAGGGUUCCCACAAGUUGUUUCCUGUAACCUAGGAGCACUCGCAAACUUUUCAGACUAUAUCUCAAUUUGUUCAAAAGUUGUAGGGGUGAUGUCUGGUACUUUUGGUGCGGGACUUCUUGUCGUGUUGAACGGGAAUCUAGUGGCCUGAGAAUGGUAAUUUUUGUCAUUACAGUAAUAAGUAAAUGUCGAGAAAAUAAAAAUUAAAUGAAGCGGAGAAAUUUGGGUCCUUUACGGAGGAGGACACCAUGCUCAAUCAGAGCAACACCUGAUGGUACUUACCAGGUUUUGAAUUUCCCCUAUUCGAGAUUUUUUUUGUAUAAAUGUUGUCAGAAUGGCAACCUCGCGUGGAAAGAGGAUCAGCGCCGGCUAACAAGAGGAUUCGAGCAUAAUUAGAGAAUGCUUCGAUUGCGGACAAAGCAAAGCAACGACCGAUACCGCAAGUGGUGAAGCGUGAAUGAUCGACUAUCGAUGUAUUCCCAUUUGAAACUAUGCUAAAGAAUCGAUGAAUAAUCGAAUAUCCUGAAUAUCGAUUCUUCUCUAUAGGUUUAAACGGCUGAUCGAUCGAUUCAUCGCAAGCCGGCAACCGCCGAUGACAACUUUCGGGCAGUCGCUCGUCGUCGGCUCGUUACGAAAACCGAAACCAGGUGGGAACCGAUGGCGGCGACAACGAUAAACUAGAUUCCCUGUUCACACCCAAAAUACUGGUUUGGCUCACUUCACUCCACUUCGCUCUUUCCCCUGUUUCCCUCGCUUUCGGGAAGUUUCGUGCUGAUUCAGAUUCGGAUUCCAAACUCGUUUUCCCAUAUUCCGAUGUCGUCGUGGGGGUUGCCGAACUGACUCACAAAAAUCACCUCUUCGGCAUUGUGGAAGAUGAUACCAUGUAACAGAAUUUUAGGAUCGAUAUUGAUAAAUGAAGCGCAAUUGACACUACCAAAGUUUCCAUUAAAUUUUUGCAUGCAACUUGUCGCACUGAAAAGUUGGAUAGUGUGAUACUGACUCGAGAAAACGACAAUUUGAUGACAAAUUGGACGAAAACUUGAAUGUGACGUCACAUUCAACUUUUCGCUCAACUUUCCAUCCAAUUGGCGGCGCCAAUUGGAUGGAAAGGAUGAAACUUUUAUGUAACAAAUAGUUCGGUGCAAUUUGAAUGCUGUGGCUUCGAUAACAAUACCACAUUGUAACGAGGACCAAACGUUGUAACGUAGUCGCAAUGUUACUUUUUUAGUAAAAGAUAGUAGAAAAGUAUGCGGCAAGGUUAAAGUUCAUAUUGUUACGUUAGUGUAAUUUGACGUAACCAGCCGUAUAUGAUGUAAUGUAACGUAACAUGAUUUUCGUAUUUUUGUGAGUAAAGUUCGAGGCAUUUUUAAUGGUUUCGUGUGUUUUUACACGGACUGAUUUGAGCUCCUUGAUUUUUUUGUAUUGUUUUUAUUUGUUAUUUUAAAUUUUUUUAAAUGCAUUUUUUACUAAAUUGACUCAAAUAAAUGACAAAAAACGAAAGCCAGCUGAUGGAAGGAGGAAAGUUCUUUCAAACGGAGAGAGGGGAAAAAUUACCAAGCAAAAUGAGCCAAAUACCGUUGGCUAUCUAGAAUAUCGUUUUUGCUGUUUAGGAUUUUCAACAGGUAACUUGCUAGGUAAUUAUCAUUUGGGAGAACGGAUGAUCUAGUGUGAAAAACUGUAGCCAUUCAAUUACAACAAUGAAACUAUUGAGAAAACAUUCUUUUCGAUGAAACCAUCGUCGUAAAAACUGUUUUUCUUUUUUUUGGCUUCAGACUUUAAAGAGGAAAAAAUGUGUAAAUAAAAAAUAUGACUUUCAUGCAAAAACUAAACUUUACACACUUAUUUUAAAAAAUACUCUAGAACUUGGUCACUUUCCUCCUUUGCAUCUUAUAAUGCCUGAGUGGCUUUUUGCUUGAAGAUUCAAAAACUAAUGGUGUUUUUUGUGUCCUCAAGAAGUGCAUUUUUCAAAAAUCAAUUCAUCAAGCAUAUGGUAAAAGAAACACAAGAUUCUUUUGAAAAAAUCUUUCGGAGAACAUUUUUCAUAGUUGAUUCUCAACUUCAAAAAUGAACACACCGUUUUAUAAGACACGUGCACGGGUUUUUUUUGG